CCUCUGGUAUCAAAAUGUGCAUCAUACUGCUCAUUGUGACAUGUAUGUACAGGUAACAAGGAGUUGUAUAUGUACACUGAAAAUAUGCUUAAAUCAAGCAAGCCAGGCAGGGAUUACAAACAGAAGUUUUUCUGCGUAGGUGUCUGAUGUAAAUUGAGCAUGGGAAAAGCCAAUGCAAAGCAAACUUCAUUUGUGCAUGAAGUCAGUAGGAAAAGAAAAUUAACAGAGGGAUGCAAAAAACAGCAUGGACACCAUGGCAUCUGCCUACGGGAGGGAAAGAAGAACUUUGUCUGGGGUACACUUCAAAAGAUACAUUUUGCUGGAACUCUAGGAUUACCUAUGGCAGUUUACAAAGUACCCAUAAAAAUUCCAGUCAGGCAUCUGGAACCUACAUCUAAUACCAACAAAUCUCCCAUUGAAAUGACUCAUGGAAUCACUCACUUCAAUUGCAGCUUCUGAGAGCACAAAGAGAGAGAAAAUGUCUUCAUGACCUUUCUAAGGAUUCCACUAUAUUUAUAUACUGUACUAAUAAUCAUGUCAAUGGAAUUGGUGCUACAGGCUGCAGAACACCAACCACUGUCUGCUCAUACAAAUAAAUGUGAAACAGCAACACUCAGAGAUCAAAACAUUUCCAAAAGAUUGUCUGGUCAGCUGCUCCUCUCUUCUACCAAGAAGAAAUGACUCUAUUAUGUUAAGCACAAUAAGGAGAUGAGUAAAAUUUAUUCUAAAUGAA